AGGGUGCGAGCGUUAAUCGGAAUUACUGGGCGUAAAGCGCAUGCAGGUGGUUUGUUAAGUCAGAUGUGAAAGCCCGGGGCUCAACCUCGGAAUAGCAUUUGAAACUAGGCAGACAGAGUACUGUAGAGGGGGUAGGAAUUUCAGGUGUAGCGGUGAAAUGCGUAGAGAUCUGAAGGAAUACCGGUGGCGAAGGCGGCCCCCUGGACAGAUACUGACACUCAGAUGCGAAAGCGUGGGGAGCAAACAGGAUUAGAUACCCUGGUAG
rnacentral:rRNA from 1 species